AUUCUGGUUGAUCCUGCCAGAGGUUACUGCUAUCGGGGUCCGAUUAAGCCAUGCGAGUCGAGAGGGGUAAGCCCUCGGCAUACUGCUCAGUAACACGCGG
rnacentral:rRNA from 1 species